AGAUGUAAACAAACAAUGUGACAGGCUCAGAAGCACACGAGCCCAAGGAGCAAACUGGCAGUAAGGUCACAGGAAAUGAAGAGUGCUCUAAAGCGGCAGGAAGUGGCGCCCUGGGUGGACCCCAGUGCCGGAAUCUGACCUGGACAGGAAGUGAAGGGCAUCAUCUGAGGAGCAGGAAGGGGAGAUUAUUUUUUUGUGUUGGUUGUAGUGAGGAAAAUAAGUGUCGGUUACACAAACCUUGCUAAAGCUUUCAUCCUGUUUGGGGUUUGAGGCGGCUUGAAGCUUCUCUAACAAAGCAAGAGUGGCUGGGGGAAGUAGGGCACAUGCUGCCUUUAAUCCAUUGAGCCUGACCUAGGCACUCGUUGAUGUCCCAAGGAAAUGUUCAAAGAAGAAUCCUCAACAAUACUACUUCCUCUACAGCCCGGAUGUAACCGCAACUGUCUUUAGCGUAAUAUACCCAGGCAUUAUGGGACUUUUCCCUGGGCCUCCAGAGAACGGAGGACUGGAACUCGGCCCCACCAGAAAUCAGACCAGACCAGAACCAGAAUUCGAGUUCUCUGCCAAGAGGAGGUGACCAGUCUCCAAUCCUCAGCUCAGGCUGAGGGCCCUUUGACCAGAUUCCUGCAUCCAGGACAGGGGGACUAGAAAAACAGGUCUGGCACAAAGAAGGUCCUUAAUAAUCAUUCAUUAAAGUUUUAUUUUGAAUCUCACUUCCAUUCUUUUUCUUUAACACCCUCUGCAGGAGGUAAUAAUGAAGACUAAAAUGUCAAGUAGGCAAUAAGAGGAGGCAAUGUAGGAACAGAGAAAAUCCACAAACCUGAUCAUUGGUUCUUGGAUUACUGACCAUUAACC
ensembl:lncRNA